GUUUCUGCUAGCUCUAGUUGUGUCGUUGUUGGUCUGUCACACAGGAUGUUGGGCACUGCACUGACACAGCCAUACAAGUCUGGAGAGUCGGAUGCUGCAAUGGAGAGCGAGUACUGCCAGCUGGCCCUGUGUUUGCAGUACUGGGAAAGAACGUCACGUUCACACCGCCCUAAAACCCUCAGAUGUGGUCAACUUUAUCACUGCAGCAUGGAAUUUCAACGCUGGCAGUGUACAAGAACCCUUCUCCAACCAGGUGGUGUGUUCAAGUUGCCCAGUUUGGCUUUCAACCUUCUCUCUCUCUCUUUCACUUGGAUCUGAUGGGAGGACUUGACCUAUCCCACAAGCCCCGAAGAGGUUCAGGGGACACACACACACACUCUUUCACAAACAAACAGACAGAUAGACUGUAACAGAACUAUUGUACUACAUUACUACAGUGCUUACUAAAAGUAUUUUCUAUGUACUAACUGUAUUAUGAAGUAUUUAGAACAUAGACACAAAG
ensembl:lncRNA